ensembl:misc_RNA
CUGACGUCCCGACAGAGUCCUCUAUUUAAUCACAGAACACGUAUAGCCUGGGCAGCAGUAGAGCUGGCUUGGCUACUAUGUCACUAUCAUGCCUCCACCCUCAAAUGAUCAGAGCAGUAGGUGAGGGCAGUUUGACUUCAGUGAUCUAGCCAGUCCUUAGCCUCU